GUGAGGAAUUUUCCGCAAUGGGCGAAAGCCUGACGCAGCCAUGCCGCGUGAAUGAUGAAGGUCUUAGGAUUGUAAAAUUCUUUCACCGGGGACGAUAAUGACGGUACCCGGAGAAGAAGCUCCGGCUAACUUCGUGCCAGCAGCCGCGGUAAUACGAAGGGGGCUAGCGUUGCUCGGAAUUACUGGGCGUAAAGGGCGCGUAGGCGGACAGCUUAGUCAGAGGUGAAAGCCCAGGGCUCAACCUUGGAAUUGCCUUUGAUACUGGCUGUCUUGAGUUUGGGGGAGGGGAGUGGAACUCCGAGUGUAGAGGUGAAAUUCGUAGAUAUUCGGAAGAACACCAGUGGCGAAGGCGACUCACUGGCCCAAUACUGACGCUGAGGCGCGAAAGCGUGGGGAGCAAACAGGAUUAGAUACCCGGGUAGUCC
rnacentral:rRNA from 1 species